rnacentral:rRNA from 1 species
AGAGUUUGAUCCUGGCUCAGAUUGAACGCUGGCGGCAGGCUUAACACAUGCAAGUCGAGCGGUAGCACAAGAGAGCUUGCUCUCUGGGUGACGAGCGGCGGACGGGUGAGUAAUGUCUGGGAAACUGCCUGAUGGAGGGGGAUAACUACUGGAAACGGUAGCUAAUACCGCAUAACGUCGCAAGACCAAAGAGGGGGACCUUCGGGCCUCUUGCCAUCAGAUGUGCCCAGAUGGGAUUAGCUAGUAGGUGGGGUAAUGGCUCACCUAGGCGACGAUCCCUAGCUGGUCUGAGAGGAUGACCAGCCACACUGGAACUGAGACACGGUCCAGACUCCUACGGGAGGCAGCAGUGGGGAAUAUUGCACAAUGGGCGCAAGCCUGAUGCAGCCAUGCCGCGUGUGUGAAGAAGGCCUUCGGGUUGUAAAGCACUUUCAGCGAGGAGGAAGGUGGUGAGCUUAAUACGCUCAUCAAUUGACGUUACUCGCA